rnacentral:lncRNA from 1 species
AGCAUGUCAAACGCUGUUUAAAAUAUUUUUUUAUGCUAUUUUUCUCGUAAAAUAGCGAUAAUAUUCCAACCGGGCAACGUUGUAUUCAUUCAAAGGCUGACCACUUACAAACUCUCCUGCUGUUGUACUUUGCCCAGAGACAGCAGACACCCCAUUCCACUUUCUGGCGGCUUUAGAGAGCCAAUGGAAGCCUUAGAAAGUGUCACGUUACAGCACAGAUGCUGUAUUUUCGAUAGAGAUGCAACAGAAGGACAACAAAUUGUCAGACAGGGCACUUCCUGUAUAGAAUCUUCUCAGGUUUUGGCCUGCCAUAUGAGUUCUGUUAUACUCACAGACACCAUUCAAACAGUUUUAGAAACUUUAGAGUGUUUUCUAUCCAAAUAUACUAAUUAUAUGCAUAUUCUACUUUCUGGGCAGGAGUAGUAACCAGAUUAAAUCGGGUACGUUUUUUAUCCGGAUGUGAAAAUACUGCCCCCUAUCCCAAAGAGGUUAACACAGUGUCCAAAGAAGGGCCAGAAGUAUACAGAAUGGUGUCGUCUGCGUAGAGGUGGAUCAGAGAAUCACCAGCAGCAAGAGCGACAUCAUUGAUGUAUACAGAGAAGAGAGUCGGCCCAAGAAUUGAACCCUGUGGCACCCCCAUAGAGACUGCCAGAGGUCCGGACAACAGGCCCUCCGAUUUGACACACUGAACUCUAUCAGAGAAGUAGUUGGUGAACCAGGCGAGGCAAUCAUUUGAGAAACCAAGGCUGUUGAGUCUGCCAAUAAGAAUGUGGUGAUUGACAGAGUCGAAAGCCUUGGCCAGGUCCAUGAAUACAGCUGCACAGUAAUGUCUCUUAUCGAUGGCGGUUAUGAUAUUGUUAAGGACCUGACAGCCCUUCUGAAGCUGAUGACCAUAUCCUUGGAUUUCUUUUCGUUCACAUACAGGCAGUUGGUUUUCCCCAUUGGGCCACUGCAUAUACUGCUGCAUGUGUUUGGCCAGGUAGCUUGCCAGGGAGCAAAAUCUGUGAAUGUGAGGUCAUCAGCCUACUUGACAGGAUGGAUUCUCUUUGGGAGGCUGGAGUCUAUGGUGAUCAUGCAUAGCACUAAGAAUGUAGGGGAAAGAGCACUCUCCAGCACAGCUGGGACUGGCUGUGAGUUAGAAAGCCAUGUUCUCGACCUAACCGUCUGCUUGCGGUUGCCCAGUUCGCUCUUGAUAGAGAUCCAUAGUGAGCGGGUCACCUCAUGCUCCACUAGAGUGAGUAGAAGAUGGUUUAGGGUGUUAAAUGCUCUGGAAAAGCUUAUGAAGGUUACAUGAACAUCCUGCUUUGGCACUUUGUUUGAUGCGUUGUGCCAGAGCAGACACUGUUGACCUGUUCUUCACAAAGCCAUGUUGUGAAGACUUGAUGUUAUGAGCAGUCUCCUUCUACAGUAUGUUGUGUUCAACCGCUCAUAGAUUUUUCCCAUGGAGCUGAGGAGAGAGAUUUGCCUGUAGUCUUGGAGGAAGAUGGGGUUGCUCUUUUUUAGGCACAGCACAGAUGGACUUUUUCCAUUGAGAGGGGGAAGUAGCUGUGUCCCAUAGAUAAGUUGAAGAUAUCGCAUGGUACUGGUGCAAGCUCCUUACAGUACGUUUUAGGAACCAGGGAGGAAUCUCGUCGGGCCUGCAGACUUCUGCCCAUUCAGCCACUUCAGAUGGGUUUUGAUCUGGCCAAUGUUGAAACUGGGGGGACAGACGUUUGUAAGCUUGUUUUCAAUAGCCUCAAUUUCAGGGAUCAUGCAUGUUGUACCUUCCCAUACAGAGGAAACUGGGCACUGAGAAUGUCACAUUCCCUCUGAGAAUCCUGUUGAUUGAGGGCUAAAAGGUUUUCUCUUGUCUCACUCGCACCAAUCAAGCUUUUCAAUGAUUUGUACUAGCCAGCAAAGUUAGAUGACUUCAGCUGUUGGACUUCUGCUUGGAAGUACUCUUUCUUGGCAUUUUUCACCAGAGCUGCAACUUUCUGCUGAAGCGGCUUGUAUUCUGCUUUGUCUUUACUGUGAAAGACUUUCUGUCUGGAUGAGCUGAGGCUGAGUCUGUGUGUGUGGUCAUCCAUUGCUUGUCUCUGGUGGUCAGUUAGCUUUUUUUGAUGGAGAGAUUACUAUUGAAAGUCAUUUUUAGGAAAGAGUUAAGUUCAUCUGUCUGCUCUUGGGAGUGUUUUGCUGUGUAGACUGGUGUGAAACUAUCUGUAUUUAGUGCCAUGGAGAGAGCUCUUAGGUUGUCAGAGGUACGGUGUUGUUUGUAGAUGUCCUGAGCUGGUGAUUUAGGCCAUUCACCUGCUGACCACAAUAUGGUCUGGUGAUCCGACUCACCUGUCAGUGGUAGAUGCUUGGCUUUGGAGUAUAGGCCUUUCAUGGUGGUAAAUAUGGAGUCAGCUGAUUAGCUCCACAUGUAGAGUAUGUUACCACUUGGUUAAGGCAAAUCUGUUUGUGUCACCAAGAAUCACAAGACCUGGGAGGGUCUAUUUGCGUUGCACAUGGUCCAAGCACCGCCCUAGAUACUCUGAGACCCAUUCUUUAGAAGUUGGGAGUGGGAUGUAAAUUAUAUCUGUUAUAAUACAGUUCAGGCCACAGCCAAAGGCACUCACAACGAGUGUCCUCAAGUUCACAUAGUCAUUUGUGCCUGAUGUUACUGUCAAUGUAUAGGGUGAUCCCUCCUCCAGAGCUGCACAGCUGUUUAUUUAUUUUAUUUGAUGACGGUUCAUACAUUUGAUGCUCAUUAGUAGGAGAAAAGUUAUACAAUAAAUGGAAGCAACACAGUCCUACAUAUCCUUUUCGUGCUAUUGUGCUGACUCAAACCAUACAAUGCUAUUUUAACUUAAAUCCAACAGGUCUAAUGAUGUACAAUGCAGUCCAAAGGCAUUUUUCAAGACUUCACAUAAACAUCUGCUAAGACCCCCUCAUAAUCUCUUACAUUUUAUCUCAUAAUAAUCUUGAGUUAUUAUCAAAUAUUCUGAG